GGUUGUGAGGUAAUCUGACUCUGACAUCAGUCACCCCAUUGAUCGUCAAGCCUGAUGCUACUAAUCUGAAUGGCUCAGGUGGGUGUCCUUUCUUUCUUCUGUGCUCCAUGUGUCCCUUCAGAAGCUGAGCACUUGGUUGAAAAGAGGACAUUAGAGUGUCUGUGCUCAUCUGCUAAAAACUCCAAACAAGCUCUUUUUAUAGUGUUUUUAUAACCAUGUAACUGUUGUGAAUCUGUAUGAACUUCACAUGAGAAAAGGCCCAAAGUCACAUUUUAUUAAUUUAAGUGCUGUCUUUAAACAACUACUU
rnacentral:snRNA from 1 species